AUGGCCGACGCGUGGGAAAGUGUAGUACGUGUUCUUAUCAACGUAAUAUCUGAUACGUGUUUUAUUUGGACCUCCGAUAUUAAAAGUAUUUUUGCAGGUUCGCGGAGUGCUUAAAGGCUGCGUCACCUCCAUCGCAUGUCGACCUGGUGUUGCACUAUCUAUCUUCGGGAUCGGCCCACAUUCU